UCAGGAGGAACAACGCCGGCGAAGACGACUUCCCGGACGAAUACUCACGAGGAGGCGCGAAGGCGUGGGUAGCGAACAGGAGGAGAUACCACGGUAGUACACGCAGCAAUCGCUGAACACUAGGCGUAGCGAGUAUCGACCCCGGAUGUGCCGCAGCCAACGCAUUAAGUGUUCCACCUGGGAAGUACGCCCGCAAGGUUAAACUCAAAGGAAUUGACGCGGGGCCCGCACAACCGGUGGAGCAUCUGGUUUAAUUCGACGCUACGCGAAGAACCUCACAUGGACAGGACAUCCCGGGAAUUCCAGCGGAAACACGGAAGUGCCAUGCGGGGAACCCGGUGACAGGUGCUGCAUGGAUGUCGUCAGCUCGUGUCGUGAGAUGUUGGGUUAAGUCCCGCAACGAGCAGCAACCCCUAUCAUUACUUGCCAGCAUUUGGUUGGGGACUCUAAAGAUACUGCCCCGGUCAACGGCGAGGAAGAUGGGGAGGACGUCAAGUCCUCAUGGCCUUUAUGUCCACGGGCUACACACAGUGCUACAAUGGGCUGUACAAAGGGUCGC
rnacentral:rRNA from 1 species